rnacentral:lncRNA from 1 species
GGCUCGCACAUUCUAGGCCCUUCCAUGGACUGACCGGACCCCAGGUGCCCAGAACCACGAGGCUGCACAGAGAUUAUCAGCCACACUGUGGGGAUGUCAGAGAGCCCCCUCGGAUCCAAACCCACCCUGCUUCGGGCUGAUAUGCCUGCAACACCCAACUUCCAGCAGGUGUUCGCGGCAUCCUGCACAGUUUCCAGCAACGGCCCCGGCCAGAGGAGAGAGAGCCCGCCUUCUGCAGAACGCCAGUGGGCAGAGAGCAGCCCGAAGUCCACCCUCACCCUACUGGGGAACAACCGCCCUUCCGAAAGUCCCCUCGGCACCCAUGAGUUCUGUAGCUCUGGUAAGAACUCACCAGGGCUGCCCUGCUUCCAGUCCUCAGAGCUCCAGGCCUCUUUCCACAGCCAUGAGCUGUCCAUGUCAGAGUCUCAGGAUGCUAUGCCUCCUGCAGGCAGCCAAACCUUCUUGGGUUUCAACACAGUAACUACAGUAACAAGUGGCCUUCCACCCAGUGAGGAUGCUGGCACCUUGCUGGUUAAUUCCCACGGUCCAUCACCAGUCCCU